CCUACGGGAGGCUGCAGUGAGGAAUAUUGGUCAAUGGACGAGAGUCUGAACCAGCCAAGUAGCGUGAAGGAUGACUGCCCUACGGGUUGUAAACUUCUUUUAUAAAGGAAUAAAGUGAGGCACGUGUGCCUUUUUGUAUGUACUUUAUGAAUAAGGAUCGGCUAACUCCGUGCCAGCAGCCGCGGUAAUACGGAGGAUCCGAGCGUUAUCCGGAUUUAUUGGGUUUAAAGGGAGCGUAGAUGGGUUGUUAAGUCAGUUGUGAAAGUUUGCGGCUCAACCGUAAAAUUGCAAUUGAUACUGGCAGUCUGGAGUACAGUUGAGGUAGGCGGAAUUCGUGGUGUAGCGGUGAAAUGCUUAGAUAUCACGAAGAACUCCGAUUGCGAAGGCAGCUUACUAAACUGCCACUGACAUUGAUGCUCGAAAGUGUGGGUAUCAAACAGGAUUAGAUACCCCAGUAGUC
rnacentral:rRNA from 1 species